rnacentral:rRNA from 1 species
UACGUAGGGGGCUAGCGUUGUCCGGAAUCAUUGGGCGUAAAGCGCGCGUAGGCGGCCCGGUAAGUCCGCUGUGAAAGUCAAAGGCUCAACCUUUGAAUGUCAGCCGAUACUGCGGGGCUAGAGUGCAGAAGGGGCAACUGGGAAUUCUCGGUGUAGCGGUGAAAUGCGUAGAUAUCGAGAGGAACACCUGCGGCGAAGGCGGGUUGCUGGGCUGACACUGACGCUGAUGCGCGAAAGCUAGGGGAGCGAACGGG